CCUACGGGUGGCAGCAGUGAGGAAUAUUGGUCAAUGGCCGGAAGGCUGAACCAGCCAAGCCGCGUGAAGGAAGAAGGUGCUAUGGAUUGUAAACUUCUUUUGUCAGGGAAUAAAGUUAGGCUCGUGUGCCUGUCUGCGUGUACCUUAUGAAUAAGCAUCGGCUAACUCCGUGCCAGCAGCCGCGGUAAUACGGAGGAUGCGAGCGUUAUCCGGAUUUAUUGGGUUUAAAGGGUGCGUAGGCGGAUUGUUAAGUCAGCGGUAAAAGUCGGGGGCUCAACCCCGAAGUGCCGUUGAAACUGGAUGUCUUGAGAGGGCGAGAGGUAGGCGGAAUGCGUGGUGUAGCGGUGAAAUGCAUAGAUAUCACGCAGAACUCCGAUUGCGAAGGCAGCAUACCGGC
rnacentral:rRNA from 1 species